CACGUAGGGUGCGAGCGUUGUCCGGAAUUAUUGGGCGUAAAGAGCUCGUAGGCGGUGUGUCGCGUCGGCCGUGAAAACCUGCAGCUUAACUGUGGGCUUGCGGUCGAUACGGGCAUCACUGGAGUUCGGCAGGGGAGACUGGAAUUCCUGGUGUAGCGGUGAAAUGCGCAGAUAUCAGGAGGAACACCGGUGGCGAAGGCGGGACCUGGGCCAGUACUGACGCUGAGGAGCGAAAGCGUG
rnacentral:rRNA from 1 species